UCUUGCUAGGGGUCCUUCAGUUUGUUAUUAUGUCUUUCAUACCAUUAAUCUAUUCUUUGUCUGUUUUGCCCAUUAUUCGCUAUUCUCUGUAUUUUAAGACCCCAUUAUUCUCUUUUAUUAUUGGUCAUCUUUUAUUUAUUAAUUUUUAAGCCCUUUAUUCUGCAUAGUUGCCCAUAAGGAUUAUUAUAUAUUCUGUAAACACCAUCCGUACCCUCAUAUGUUAGGCGUAUAUAUAAUUUGUCUGAUGUAUCGAGUUACAUCCACUAAAUAUUGAUAAAGUCAUUUAAUUUAAUAACAAAUUGGUAAAGCAUAAUUGAUAAAGCAUAGUGAUAUCAGUAAAAGUAAGCUGUAGUUAAAAAC
rnacentral:lncRNA from 1 species